GCGGAGGUUGCCAAGCCUGGUCAAAGGCGUAGGGUUCAGAUCCCUAUCUUGUAGGAGUUCGCGAGUUCAAGCGAAUCGGGAUUCCCCCGAGUCGGAACACAUCUCGCCCUCCGCACCA
rnacentral:tRNA from 1 species